CAGACUCUGACUAUGGUUUGGCUACAGACAUGGGGGAUGAGCAGAAAAAAAUCUUCUACCUGCACCAGGCAACAAAGUCCAUGAAGCUAUAAACACAAAUUGCAGCUGUUCUUUAAGGUGUCUGAUCUAUCCUCUCAAGAAGCCAAUUUAAUUUUUAAUUCCCUCUGAUGAGACUCAGAAGAUGCUGGAUAAAAUAUGAGGAAUGGUCUUGUGAGUGCAAGGUGUCUCUUUUUUGCUUUGAAAGGAC